rnacentral:ncRNA from 5 species
UUCUGCCCAGUGCUCUGAAUGUC